UUCUGUAGUUGAGCUAUUUACUCAGAGAGAAGAUGGGAGUCAAGGACAAGAAGAAGAACAAGGAGCUUGCCCAGAGAAAUUUGGAGCCUGUUGAAAAGGAUAAAAGUUCAGGACCUUCAGAGAUGAGAAAGAGAAAAAGAGAGAAGAAAACAAUGGUGAUUCGAGAAAAGUUGUUCAGAUCUCUAUUGAAGAUAACUCGACCAAAGCGGCCAAUGACAAGAAAAAGACAAAGAAACUGAG